rnacentral:lncRNA from 14 species
GGUGAUGGCCAUCGGCCCCUGUCCGACAGGUAAGCACCCCCACACCGCUUGGGUGUCAGCAUGGGGAGAGCCUCCCCCCCUGUGUUAUUGCUACUGGUGGCAAUAGGAGAUGCUGGAGAUCCCACUGGUGCCCCCCAGUGGGGCUGUGACACUGACCCUCAUGGUGCUCAGUGUCAGCAGCACCCGUCUGUGGGCACUGUGAGGGGCAGAGAGACCUGCAGCCACCCUGCCCUUCACCCAGAGGUUUCUCUUCACCUUGUCCUCUGUGUGUGGUUCAUCUCUGUACCCUGUGUCCGAGCACAUCUCCCUUUCCCCAUAACCUCACCUUGUCCCUAACCCAUAUGGGGUGACUGAGCCACCGGUUUGGGACUCGGUGUCCUCGGCCCUGGUCCCUGUCCCCUGGUGCAAGGGGGAGCAGAGGUUUGGGUGGAUCAAAUCCGGUGCUCCAGGAUGGCACUGGGAUGGAUGCACAUCCCAUUGCUCCUUGUCACCACUGGGAUCUGCAUCCCUGGAGCCGGCAGGAUGGGGAUCUCCCUGCACCACUGGGAUCUGCAUCCCUGGAGCCAGCAGGAUGGGGAUCUCCCUGCACGCAGCCAGGGCAGCAUCACUGGGGGCUCAGCACCCGUUACCCAGCACCCAGGAGGUGGUGCAGGGCAUGGCUGACCCCAUCCCUCCCCUCCCACAGAGACGCGCUCCCCAUCGCACGUCAGUGGCCUCAACCACUCGGCCUCCCUCAACUACCACGAACGCUCCGACUCCAUCUCCUCACCCGUCAGUGGCAGCACCACCCAGCUCAACACCAGCACUGGUGCCCAGUAUGUGCCCGACUUCAGUGUCCGAGCCCUCACCGACCUCCAGUUCGUCAAGAUCCUGCGCCACGAGUACCAGAACGCCCUGACCGCCUCCCGCAUGGACAGUUGUCCCCAGUCCCCCGACAGCAACUGCCCCAGUGCAGACACGGAUGCACCAGAGAAACCAGAACCUCCCAGCACCGCGGAUGAGACCACAAGCCUCCUGAACAAGAGGAACUGCCUGAGCCGGCGCAGCAACCACAGCCUCUUGGAGAACUCCAUCUGACCCCGGCCCCGCCGGCACGGGCUCGGUUUAGGGGACCCUUUCCAUCCUAAGUAGGUGGCACCGUGCCGGGGCGCCCGGAGAAGCCUGGUUUGAACCCUUGGUGGCACCGGGGUGGUAACGGAGCUGGGAUCUGCUGCGGCUUUCCCAGGCUGGUUCCUUUGUGCUCCAUCUCCAGGGUGGCACAAACCCACGUUCAGCUCAGGGAGCUUCAGGGCUCGGGGUCUGGGGGGGCUCUGCUGUUGGGCAUCGCAGCCCCAUGGGGGGCAGCUGGGAUGUGACCCGAUGGUGGCAUCACAUCCUUCUCUGUCUGUGCCCGUCCUUCCCCUUUCCCGCUGGCCCGGGAGACCGCGGGGACGUGGCAGGGGGGAGAGGUUGGCAUCAGGCCUGAGGCCACGGGGAUGGGCCCUGGCACCACGGCUCAGGCCUGACCCCCUCUGCCACUCACCGGUGUCACGAGCGCGCUGAGGACGGCAGAGCCGGGUCCUGUUGUCAUUAUGUGUGUGUGUGUCCCCCCAAAGGGGGUGGUUUUGGUGCCUUCCCCCCCCUGCCCCCCCCGGCUCCAUGGGGUGUCUCGGGGUGGGACCCCCAACCUCUAUGGGGUGUCUCGGCGUGGGACCCCCAAACUCUAUGGGGUGUCUUGGGGUGGGACCCUCAACCUCUAUGGGGUGUCUCGGGGGUGGGAUGUGGGGCUGGGGGCACAAAGCUAGUGACCAAAGUUGUACAAGCAGGAGGGGGCCAGCACCGUGUGUGCCCCCCCCCAGCACCAGGGGGGACCCCCAGACCCAUGGAUGCCCUCGGGGCCGGGCCUGGGGACCUGGUGCCCCCUAGAGGGGGGGAAGGAGACGUGUGUGUCCCCCCCCAAAAGCACAAGUUCUCUGUAAGUUAUUAGGGGAGGGUGAAUCAUGGUCGUUAAUUCCAUCGCGAUGCUCAGAUCCGGGGGCCUGCGGGGGCCGAUGAUCGAAAUAAUAAUAAUGAUGAAUAAUAAUUAAUAAUAAUAAUUAAUAAUAAUAAACAAGGACAAAAACCCUUUUUUAUUAAAUCU